rnacentral:rRNA from 1 species
CCUACGGGUGGCAGCAGUGAGGAAUAUUGGUCAAUGGACGAGAGUCUGAACCAGCCCAGUAGCGUGAAGGAUGACUGCCCUAUGGGUUGUAAACUUCUUUUAUAUGGGAAUAAACUGUUCCACGUGUGGGUUUUUGUAUGUACCAUAUGAAUAAGGAUCGGCUAACUCCGUGCCAGCAGCCGCGGUAAUACGGAGGAUCCGCGCGUUAUCCGGAUUUAUUGGGUUUAAAGGGAGCGUAGGUGGAUUGUUAAGUCAGUUGUGAAAGGUUGCGACUCAACCGUAAAAUUGCAGUUGAAACUGGCAGUCUUGAGUACAGUAGAGGUGGGCGGAAUUCGUGGUGUAGCGGUGAAAUGCUUAGAGAUCACGAAGAACUCCGAUUGCGAAGGCAGCUCACUGGAGUGCAACUGACACUGAGGCUCGAAAGUGUGGGUAUCAAACAGGAUUAGAUACCCCAGUAGUC